CCUACGGGAGGCAGCAGUAGGGAAUUUUCGGCAAUGGGGGGAACCCUGACCGAGCAACGCCGCGUGAACGAAGAAGUUAUUCGUAAUGUAAAGUUCUUUUAUCAGGGAAGAAAGAGGAAUUUGACGGUACCUGAGGAAUAAGCUCCGGCUAACUACGUGCCAGCAGCCGCGGUAAUACGUAGGGAGCGAGCGUUAUCCGGAAUUAUUGGGCGUAAAGGGUGCGUAGAUGGCAUAGUAAGUCUUUUGUAAAAAUGCUGGGCUCAACCCAGUAGGGCAAAAGAUACUGCAAAGCUAGAGUAUGACAGAGGCAAGUGGAACUACAUGUGUAGCGGUAAAAUGCGUAAAUAUAUGUAAGAACACCAGUGGCGAAGGCGGCUUGCUGGGUCGAUACUGACAUUGAGGCACGAAAGCGUGGGGAGCAAACAGGAUUAGAUACCCGAGUAGUACA
rnacentral:rRNA from 1 species